GCUUCGGCAGCCGCAAUCGGCCCUCCCCAUUCCCCAACCCAAUACCGGCGGCGCGCCGCUCCAUCCCUAGGCCGGCGCGGCGGCACCCCCACAGCCCCCAAAGACUCAGGCUAGGGCGGCCGGGCGGAUCCGCGCCAUCUCCAUCCGGCUGCUGCUGCUGAGCUGAUCUGCGCCUCAGCUGCUUGGCUGCGGACUGCAGUGCGGUGCAGCCGGCAGGCACCGUCGUGGCGUUGACGUCUGCCGUCAGGGACUCUGGAUCCGGCAGGCCGCAUUCCGGUUGAGCGCCCUCAGACCUCAGCACGACAUCCCUUGCUGCAGUGCGCAGUGCUGCUUGCCUGCUUAGCUUUGUCACCGUGAUUGAUAUAGUCUCGAGGAGUCUUAAGCAUUUGAAGCCAUUUUGGUGUGGACAAUUUGAUGAAUGUAUAGAAAAUGCCAAAGGUCAAACACUCAAGCUAGCCUGCUAAAGAAGAAGCACACUGAAGAGAAAUAUGUUCACAGAGUGAAUGCCAUCAUGCAUGCCCUUGAAAUCGAAAGGUCCCCUUCUCUACUUGAAGGUCAGUUGAAUACUCAUGAAUCUAGUACAUCCAUAGAAGACCUGAUGUUUUUCCGAGAACGUAUAAAGGAUCAGAUAUCAAAACCGAUGAGCCAAACUACUGAUUGUAGUAAAGAGGGUGUAUCUUCUAUUCAAGAUCAUAAGGGUUUCAAGGUGGAAAACAUAAGCUUUGUGACACCAAUACCUGAAGGUAGCCACAAUAGCUGUAAGAAUUUGUUGCCACCCCUGUAUGAAGGGACAAUGAAAUGCCAGUCACAAGACAGUGAUGUUGUUGGGUUGGGUGCAAGGGUUAAAGGUGUUGGCUGCGAGCCCACUGAACUUGAAAAUGAGACACAACUUUAUGACGUAGAGCUGACUGUUCAUGGAAACUAUGAGGGCCAUGGCUUGCCCCUUGCUUUAUUCACAAGUAAAUCAACCGGUAAACCUGUAAAAGGCUACCCUGUCACUGUGGAGGUUUUGGAGGAUGGUUGUUCUGCAGCAAGUAUCGCCGCUCACCAAUUAGCAGCCUUGAGUGGCUACACAAGAGUAGAAAUUAAUUACCGUGGCUAGCAAGAUAUUUACAUGCAUCACGAUCAAAUCCGGGGAGCAAACAGGAAGCCUGUAGUUGCAACUUGCAAAUGCCUCCUUUCUGCCGAGCUCAUCCCAAGGGGUGUUCAGCUGAUGCUGGCAGCACAAGGGAGUGCCAUGUGAGACCGACAACCAUUUUCACUGGUUCCUGAGGCCCUGUAACUGACGGCGAGAAGAAAAGUGCACCUGUGCGUUUGUUAUAAACUUAUAAUUCAGUUGAGAAGAAAAGUUGGGACUAUUGCAGGGUACAAUUCAAGUGGCAAGUCUCAGCUGUUUUGAUCUCUCUCAGUUGAAGUGGCAAGCUAGGGCAUGUACAGUAGUCAUCUGUGUUGAUCUCCACCAAACCUAGAGAUGACUUAAGAGACUAUUCAUAUAAUUAGUUGUGUAUCAUAGUAUCAUGUGCCUCCAUAUGAUCCUACGAGAUUUCUUAGUAGUCCAUGUCUCCAUGGGAUUGUAGGAUUUCAAGAUAUUUCAAGAUAAAUAUCCUGAUCCUGACAAAACCUUCUUGUUCAUUUUGAGUAAACGCACAAUAAUGAGUACAUACCUGCAUUUAUUAUUUGAGAA